rnacentral:rRNA from 1 species
UUGGAGGGCAAGUCUGGUGCCAGCAGCCGCGGUAAUUCCAGCUCCAAUAGCGUAUAUUAAAGUUGUUGCAGUUAAAAAGCUCGUAGUUGAAUUUCGGGGUUCUACCGUUGGUCGGGCAAUAGUCUGUACUGGCGUGUAGAAUUUCUACCUUCUGGGGAACUAUCAUGUUAUUUAUUUAGCGUGGUAGGAAACCAGGACCUUUACCUUGAAAAAAUUAGAGUGCUCAAAGCAGGCUUACGCCUGAAUACAUUAGCAUGGAAUAAUAAAAUAGGACGGUGGUCCUGUUUUGUUGGUUUCUGAAUCACCGUAAUGAUUAAUAGGGAUAGUUGGGGGCAUUAGUAUUCAAUUGUCAGAGGUGAAAUUCUUGGAUUUAUUGAAGACUAACUUCUGCGAAAGCAUUUGCCAAGGAUGUUUUCAUUAAUCAAGAACGAAAGUUAGGGGAUCGAAGACGAUCAGGUACCGUCGUAGUCUUAACCAUAAACUAUGCCGACUAGGGAUCGGACGAUGUUAAUUUUUCUUGACUCGUUCGGCACCUUACGGGAAAC